rnacentral:tRNA from 1 species
GCCAGCAUGGCAUAGUUGUUUGAGUGUUGGACUGAGACUCUGGAGACCAGGGUUCUAAUCCCAGCUCUGCCA